rnacentral:rRNA from 1 species
GGGGAAUAUUGCACAAUGGAGGAAACUCUGAUGCAGCAACGCCGCGUGAGUGAUGAAGGUUUUCGGAUCGUAAAGCUCUGUUGCCAGGGAAGAACGUCCGUUAGAGUAACUGCUAACGGAGUGACGGUACCUGAGAAGAAAGCCCCGGCUAACUACGUGCCAGCAGCCGCGGUAAUACGUAGGGGGCGAGCGUUGUCCGGAAUUAUUGGGCGUAAAGCGCGCGCAGGCGGCUGUUUAAGUCUGGUGUUUAAUCCUGGGGCUCAACCCCGGGUCGCACUGGAAACUGGACAGCUUGAGUGCAGAAGAGGAGAGUGGAAUUCCACGUGUAGCGGUGAAAUGCGUAGAGAUGUGGAGGAACACCAGUGGCGAAGGCGACUCUCUGGGCUGUAACUGACGCUGAGGCGCGAAAGCGUGGGGAGCAAAC